GUCUAUGGCCAUACUACCCUAAAUGCACCAGAUCUUGUCUGAUCUCGGAAGCUAAGUAGGGUCAAGCCUGGGUAGUACUUGGAUGGGAGACCUCCUGGGAAUACUGGGUACUGUAGGCA
ensembl:rRNA 5S_rRNA 5S ribosomal RNA